CCUACGGGGGGCAGCAGUGAGGAAUAUUGGUCAAUGGGCGGAAGCCUGAACCAGCCAAGUAGCGUGCAGGAUGACGGCCCUACGGGUUGUAAACUGCUUUUAUACGGGAAUAACGCGCCUUACGUGUAGGGCUUUGCAUGUACCGUAUGAAUCAGGACCGGCUAAUUCCGUGCCAGCAGCCGCGGUAAUACGGAAGGUCCGGGCGUUAUCCGGGUUUAUUGGGUUUAAAGGGAGCGUAGUCGGCAGUGCAAGCGUGCAGUGAAAUGUACGGGCGUAACCCGGGCCUUGCAGCGCGAACUGGCGUGCUUGAGUCCGCGGAAGGCAGGCGGAAUUCGUCGUGUAGCGGUGAAAUGCUUAGAUAUGACGAAGAACCCCGAUGGCGAAGGCAGCUUGCUGCAGCGGAACUGACGCUGAUGCUCGAAAGCGCGGGUAUCGAACAGGAUUAGAUACCCCUGUAGUC
rnacentral:rRNA from 1 species